UAGUUCGUUUCCUCUAGAUUCGGACUAAAUAAGAAGCCUCGACUGUUCGCGCAGUUGGGGCUUCGCUG
rnacentral:antisense_RNA from 1 species